UGCCAAGUAGAUUUUUACCACUCUGAUAUCCCCAACAUUAGCUGUAAGUGCCCGUAUUUAGACUGAUGGAUGAAUCGCUUAACAGAUGGAGCCUUACUACUCUCAGUGUUUAGGAAAGAGGUCAUUUGAUUCAAGUCUUACUUCCCUACUUGAAAACGAAGGCUUCUGCCCAGGAGACGCUAUUUCAGAAAUGCACUGAAGGUUAAUAUCUUUGCAUGUAUUACAAAUGCUAAUCAAAGUGGAAUGUUAAUAUAUUCUCCUAUUCAUUACAAAGAAAAUGGCAGAUAUGACUGCACAUUAAGGACUUUCUACGAACAGUUGCUUUUCCCCUGCUUAUUUCUUAGGUCCCUGAAAAUGCCAGUCACAGUUUCACUGGUGCUCAGGUAGCUGAAACGAGGCAGAAGAAAUGGGCUCUCCUCUGAGAAGCAACAUCAGGACAAGAGCUACCACUGUGCUUCCUGCUUUACAAUGGGGGCCCUGCUUCAUCACUCCGGGCCAUUCCAGAAACGGAAGCCUUCCGGGCUUCCAGAAGCUGUUAGCUGCAACCUGCCUGGGCCAGGCCCACAUUCUGCUCCCGAGGAUAAUUCCUACAUGCUUCUGCCUGUAUCCUCUCAUUCCACAGCUUCAGAGAGGAUCGUCUUCCACACGUGCACAAAGGAUCGACCUGGUUGAGCAAGUCAACAGAAGAUCAGAGAAUGGCAAAAUCUCGCCAGAAGUUCAUUCGAUAAAUGGCCCAUAAAGGUCCCAGAAAUAAUUUAUCAAAAUGGAGGUAGGUUCUAAUGGCUGGGAAUGUGGCUGCCUGAACAAUGGACAGAGGUUGGAAGAGACACAGCGGAUGUCUCUGUCUUUAGUGGGAACUGAAGGAAAGGUGGCCAUUUCCCCUGUGCAUGUGUUUGCCCCUUGCUCCCCACAGCUGCUGGCUCUACAGAAAAUGCUGGUGCAGGAGACGGCCAAAGAAAGGGCAGCACUUAUCUGCUUCAGAGAGAACUGAAAAGAUUGACGCAUUUUUUCUGGGGUCCCAAGCUUUUUUUUUUUCUUUUUGGCAUUACCCAUAAUGUAUCUGUCCAUGGGAUAAACAGAGACGCCUUCCCCCACAAUUAUAUUUGCUUAAAGGAAAACACAGCUGCCUUUCUUGCAUAUUAAGACGCAACUGGAACUAGAAAGACCAAACAAAGAUUUCAAAGGGAAGGAAAGUUUUUACAGCAUAAAAGACACUCCACCAUACCAAAGUGCAUUGAAACUAAAAAACCGAGGCAGUGUAAUGACUAUUCUCCUUGGGGACAAAAGUCCUAUUGAGCAAGAAGCUAUAGGUGCCAUUUUCCAGAAGAGCCACCUGCUACUACUUGGAGCUAUUGGUGAUAUUCAGGAGCCCGAAUUUCAGAGUCCUUCCAUCUAUGGGGUCUGUGUGGGAGAGUGUGCAUGCACGUGCACCCUGAGGCAAAACCAAUAGGUAAUUACUCGAUGCUGUCACUGUGGGAUAACUGAACCAUCAAGCCGACUACUUAAUGAUCCCCUCUUAGACGACCAGCAUCACACCACACGCUCCUGUUAAGAGGAAACCUUUGGAGAAACAUGCUAAUCCAAGCGAAAGCAAGGAAGAUACUGUAUUGCUAAGAGGGCCCACCCCAUCAGAAGAACAGAAUGGAGCAAGAAGAUAAUGAACCUAAUUAGUCAGUCAUUACUUGCUAUACUUACAACUGCUGCCACAGUGCUGUUCUAUGUGAUAGCGUUUUCAAGCAGCAACCCUUCCACAAAUCAAAGCAAGAGCCAAACCAGUUUCUUUUAUGCCCCGGUUUUAUGGAGAAGUAACUGACACACAUCACCCUGUGAGUUUAAGGCGUAUGGCAUGACGGUCUGAUUUACGUACGCUGUUAAGUGAUGGCCGUGAGAAUUUUGGCUGACAUCCACCUUCUCAUACAGAGACAGAGUGAGGAAAGAAGGAAAGAAGGAGCAAAAUAUUUUCUCCUUGUGAUGAGGACUCCUAGGAUCUACCCUCCGAACCACCGUAACCGUAAUCACACGGCAGUGUCCCGCUGUCGUCAUCCUGUUGUAUUUAUUUAUCUUGUAACUUGGAAGUUGGUACCUUCAGUCACCUUCCUCUAGUCUCCCCUUCCCCUACCCCUGCUAACCACAGGUCUCAUCUGUUCUUCUACAAAUGUGGGUGUUUGUUUGGAUUCCACAUAUAUGUGAGAUCAUUCAAUAUUUUGUCUUUCUCUGACUUAUCUCCCUCAGCACGAGGCUGAAAGGAUUCAUCCGUGUUGCCACAAAUGGUAGGAUUUCCUCUUUUUAUGGCUGAGUUAUAUAUAUUUAUAUGCACAUACACACAAAACACAACUUCUUUAUACAUUCAUCUAUCGGUGGACACUUGGGCUGCUUCCACGUUCUUUCCUUUGAAAUAUUCCCAGAAGUGGAAUUGCUGGAUCAUAUGGUGGUUCUGUUUUUAAUUUUUCAAGGAAUCUCCAUACUGUAGUGAAUGCACCAUUUUAUAAUCCCCCCAGAGUGCUAAGGGUUUCCUUCCCUCCACAUCCUCACCAGCCUUUGUAAUCUCUUAUUAUUGUGGCGAUGGCCAUUCUAACAGGCCUGACAUGAUACUUGGUUGUGGUUCCAACUGGUGUGUCCCUGAUGAGGCUGAGCCUUGUUUAUCUUCUUUGAAGAAAUGUCCAUUCAGGUCCUUUGCUCAUUUUUUAGUUGGGUUACUUGUUUUUUUUUUUUUUUUUGCUAUUCACUACGUGAGUUCUUUAUAUAGUUUGGAUAUUAAUCCCUGAUUAGAUGUAUCGUUCCAAUUUUUCCCCCAAUUCCAUGGACUGUCUUUUUCACUUUGUUGAUGGUUUCUUUUGCCGUGCACAAGCUUUUUAGUUUGAUGGAGGCCCACUUGGGUUUUUUAUUUUGUUGUUUGUUCUUUAGGUAUCUCUUUAAAAAGAUCAUUAUCAAAACCUCUGUCAAAGAGAUUUGUUCCUAUGUUUUCUUCUAGGAUUUUCAUACAUUAAGUCUUUCUAAUCAGUUCGAUUUAAUUUUUCCGAGUGGCAUAAGAUAUGGGUCCAGUUUCAUUCUUUAACAUGUGAAUAUUCCAUUAUACCAGCGCCAUUUAUUAAAGAGACUGUCCUUUCUUCACUUGGUAUUCUUGGCUCUCUUACCAAAUAUUAGAUGGCUAUACACAAUGUGGUUUAUUUCUGGGCUACCGAUUCUGUUCCACUGGUCUAUUUGUCUGUCUUCAUGCCAGUAUCAUCCUGCUUUGAUGCCAGAGAGUUUCUUAUACAGCCUGCCUGACAACAGAAGUUAACACUGAAACUUGGCUGUGAUUUAUCUUAGUAAAUGUGUCCAUGAUGAUGUGGCAAGACUGCUUCCCAUGACCGUGGGGGCUGGCUGUCUAAGCGUGCAAAGCAGCAGACCACUAGGGUCAAUGGGACUUGACCAUCAUUAAAUUCUAAUUGAGCCAGAAAAAGAAACAGCUCUCCUAGCCUUCUCUUAAAGCAUAUAGUUUUCUCCUCUAUGCCUUGGUUCCCCCAGUGCCUUGAUCAGAAAAUGUCUAUAAUCAAGUUUAAUACAGACUUGUAGAGCAGACAAUAGAGACCUCAGGGGAAAGCAAGUUGGCUUUCCUAAGGUAACUUCUUAUAUAUUUAAUUGGGUUCCUUGGCAGUUCCAAGUUUAACUAGAAAAUGUUAAUGUAAUAUUAACAUAUCAACAUAGCAAAGGUCAGUAAGUUUUUCGAACAUCUUCUUUAACAAAAAUUCAGAAAUCUGAACUGUACGAAUUUCCAAUUAAUGACAAAUUUUCAACUAACAAAUACUCCACUAUAUGUUCAAUAGUGGAGUAUUGCUAUCAUCUUAACUACCCUACUGAUACCGUCAAGAGGAAUGCUUACCUUCUCUCUGGCAUGUACUGGAGAAGAACAGCAAUUAGCUAGGGUCCAAAAAAAAUUAGCCCUGAAUUAACAGCCUGUAAUAACACCAACAACUAGACAAAGCAAACCAUUAAGCUGGACAGAGAGAUGUCACAUAACCCCAGUACUCUAAUUUGCUGAAGGAACUUAUUUCACCAGUAGUUACCAAGUGCAGUGCCUGUGCCAGGUGCUGGAGGAAAGCUAUGAACAGAAUAAAACACAAUUCCUGCCCUCAAGAAGGUUUCACUUUACUUCAACUGGGAAUGAGACUCACACACUGUAACUAGAUUAGACAACCUUGGCAAUGGACCCUUUAAACUCCCGAGAGUCUAUAAUUCUUAGCUUUUUACACAAGGGUUUCCUUUCAGGUCAAUUCAAGGUCCCUUCUCGAGUAGAAGGGCAGAAGUUGAAAAGCAGGAAAAAAUUUUAUAAGAGCUAAAAUCAACUUAGUAAAUAACAAUAUGGGUAUUAAUUGAACACCUGCUAUGAAGGUGGCUAAGACACUGCUCACACGCUAAGGGGUCUUACUUUCCAGGGGAGACAGGAGCUCGGGCAACUACGAUACAGACUGGAUUGUAAUGAGGGCUUGAGUUGCACAAACACAGGGGGAGCAAUUAAUUGUGCUCUUUUAUGGGAGGUGGGGUGGGCAGGAAGCGUCAAGAAGUCUUCAGAAACACUAACAUGUAAGACAGCUGUUGACAGAGGAGCUUCCCAGCAGGAGAUGGAGAAGGUGUGCUGUGCUCGGGGCAGUGUGGGCAAAGCAGCAGAAGCAGGAAGGCACAUUCUCUCUUUAAUGAAUAACCAACCCCAAGGUCCAUGAAAGACAGAAGGAUGAGGUUGAGGUCAUGUCAAAGGUUAUGUUUAUACCGUGUUUUAAUAUGGUAUAUUGGGUGUUUGGGGUGUUUGUCCCCACUUCCAUAUAAUGAUUUAUUAGAUACUGUCAAUUAAUUCAGCUUUAAAGCAGAAACUUAUCUCACCGUCGAUCCUAUGGAUCAGACUGAUGAAUGAGUAUCUUGAGACCGCAAGGAAAGCUGCUGAAAAACCAACUAUUAUCAGUGGCCACUACUGACCGCUGCAAAUCAGGAUGAUCGCAAUGCUGCAUGUCCAAAUAAAAUUUGGGUGCUGAGGCUGAUAGAAGGCUGUAGCCACCACCAUUAGCCCUUACUUUCAAACACUGUGUUCACAGAAGUAAGUGUCUUUGUUUUCUUGAGAAUUAGCAAAGAUUAUAUCAAUAAGCUUAAAACUACAAUUAUGUUUUUUUUUAAUAUCAUAUUAGCAUUUGGAAGAG
ensembl:lincRNA